UGAAUCUGUAGUGGUAGAAGUACAUCCA
rnacentral:sRNA from 1 species